rnacentral:lncRNA from 1 species
UGUGACGGAGGCGCCCACGUGCUCGGCCCGCCCGUGUUACGGCCGCCUACCGGCUGCAGAGGAGAAGGGAGGAAAGGGUGGAAUCUCAACACAAGUGGUAGGCAACUUUGAAAACAAUAAAUAGAUGAAGAAUGGAGAGACCUCAAAAGGAGAGUCUGGGAACCCUAGCCAAAGGCUAUAAUGUGGUAAAAUCGUGGGGACUUAAUUCCAUCAUAUGGAGGUUACUGAAUGUAUCAGAGACAGCCUGCAGUUCAUCACCACACAAAUUAGGAGCAACGUAAGAAGAGAAAAAGAAAAAGGAA